rnacentral:rRNA from 1 species
CCCGCUCAGAAACUCAAAUGAAUUGACGGGGGCCCGCACAAGCGGUGGAGCAUGUGGUUUAAUUCGAUGAUACGCGAGGAACCUACCUGGGCUCAAAUGUAUGUUGACGUAUUCUGAAAGGGAUACUUCUUCGGACAAUAUACAAGGUGCUGCAUGGUUGUCGUCAGCUCGUGCCGUGAGGUGUCGGGUUAAGUCCCAUAACGAGCGCAACCCCUAUCAUUAGUUGCCAUCAGGUCAAGCUGGGGACUCUAAUGAAACUGCCUACGCAAGUAGUGAGGAAGGUGGGGAUGACGUCAAAUCAGCACGGCCCUUACGUCCAGGGCUACACACGUGCUACAAUGGCCGGUACAAAGGGCAGCUACCUGGUGACAGGAUGCUAAUCUCAAAAGCCGGUCUCAGUUCGGAUCGGAGUCUGCAACCCGACUCCGUGAAGUUGGAAUCGCUAGUAAUCGCGCAUCAGCCAUGGCGCGGUGAAUACGUUCCCGGGCCUU